rnacentral:lncRNA from 1 species
UUUCUCCUAUUUCUGUUUCUUUAUGUGUUGUUUAGCUGUGUUGAGUUGUAUCGAGUUGGUAGGUUUGGGUUCGGAGUAGUUUUGGAUGAAAUGAUCACUUGUUCUCUUAGUUAGAAAGCUAAGAUAGAAAAGUCAACCGGAAGUUGACUUAUGAGCAAACAAAUUCGGAUUUGGAUUUUUAUGAUUCGAUUAGAUUUGUUGGGUGAUUUUAGACUCGGGAAUGUUUCUGGAAUAUAAUUUGGAGGUCCGUGGUAGAAUUAGGCUUGAAUUGGCGAGGGUUGGAAGGUUAGAAGUUCUUAGGCUUGAAUUCGAGGUUGAUUUGGUCCUUUGGUGUUGUUUUGGGGUUCCGGAGGUUCGACUAAGUUCGGAUAGUUAUGUGUGACUUGUGGAAAAUAUUGAUUGAAGUCCCUAGAGCCUCGGGUGAGUUUCGAAUAGAUUUGUGUUGAUAUUAUAUUGAACAAAUGAGCUCCGAUUUUUUUUGAAGCAUUAGAUCCGUAUCGUAAUUACGGACCCGUAGCAAAAAGAAUCAUCGACUUUGGAUAUCGUAUGGGGAUUUUAUGGUUAUUCUACUAAAAACUAGGUUGCUAGACUUUUUCAGAAUAAUUACGAAAUUACCACUAGCAGCGUGUUUAAUAAGGAUAUCGUAUGAGGAUUUUAUGGUCAUUUUACUAAAAAUUAGGUUGCCAGACUUUUUCAUAGUAAUUACGAAAUUGCCACUAGCAACGUAUUUAAAAAUUUGCACUAUUUGCAAAUAUUAAAACAUACAUAUCUAAUUCAUUAUAAGGUCAAAUUGCGUGAUUUAAAAGCCUAACUUGACUAUAAUUUCACAAGAAAUCCAUUGGAGACAUAAAAUAUGAGUUUCAGAAUUGUUUGGCACGAGAAACGAGGCAGAAUAGCUGGCAGAAAAAUAUAUAAAAUUAGAAUUUGUUCAUUUGGUCAUAUUUUGAGUUGGGAAGCUCGAUUUAGGCGAUUUUCACCAUAUGGAUUGGGGUAAGUUUUCUUUAUUCGGUUUUGAUUAUAUUUCAUGAAUACAUCUUAGUUUUUGGGAUUUGAUUGAUGAUUUCAAAGUGAAAAUUUAGGGAGUUAGGGUUUGAGUUUUGGAGAGUUUUAAGUGAGGAUUUGAGGGAUCAAAUAGAGUCCGAUUUUGACGAAUUUUAUAUGGUUAGACUCGGGAGAGGACGAGGAUUAUUAUUCUGCUAUUUUUGACUGAUUUCGAGAUGUGGUCCCGGGAGUCGGGUUUUGGCCGAUUUCGAAUUUUUGGCAUAUUUUGUAGUUUUUAUUGUGGAAUUUGAUUUUUAGCACAUGUUUAAUCUGAUUAUGGUUAGAUUCAGAGAUUUUUUAGACAGAGUCUAGAGACGAGGAUAUCUUGCAGUAGGAUUUUACGCGAUUGAGGUAAGUAACAGUUUUAACUCUGGCUUUCAGGGUAUAAACCCGGAGAAAUUGAUAUCAUGUGAUUGUUUGGUGGUGAUACCCACGCUAGGUGACAGGCAUGUGGGUGUGCACCGCGAGGGAUUGAGACUUGGUCCGUCCAGUGAGGUUGUGAGGCCUAAUGGCUAUUAUAGCAGUUAUAUGUUUACUUGUUGUUGAACUUGUUUGCCUUCAUGUUAGAGAUCAUGCUUAGGCUUUGCUCAUGCUCACAUUAUUUGUGGUCAGUCAUAGAAAUUAUUGUACAUGUGUAUCUCAGUUGCUAUUAUCUGCUAAUAUGUUGUGAUACUUGAUGUGGGUUGUGGCCCCUUAUUUGUUGAUUAUAGUGAGGCUAGUGAGUUAUAUGAUUGAGUAAGACGGAUGGCCUGGUUGUGAGGAUAUUAAUACCAUAGCGUGAGUUGUCCGGUAGCGCGUUAGUUGACCAUAGGGGUCCAGGUAUUGAUACCAUAGCGCGUGAGUUGACGUGCGGAUCUAGGUAUUGAUAUGAUGGCACGUGAGGUGUACGUGCAUAACGCUUGGGCUUUGGGAGCCCCUCCGGAGUCUGUACAUACCCCUAGUGAGUGCAGAGCGUUGAGUAUAGUGAGUGUUGAGUGCGAGUGCUGAGUGAUAGAGUGACAUUGCUGUGAGGUUGCAUUUACUUUUGUUGUUGUUGCAUUUACCUGUUAACUUGUUUGUGGUAUUUGUUGCUUUUACGGAAUUUACCUGUUUAUUCAUGUUUAUUGUAAAUUAUAAAAAUAAAUAAUUGGACUGUUUUUCUUAGCUCGUCGCUACUGCUCAGUUCCUUAGUUAUUUCUGUUACUACUGAGGUGGUUGUACUCAUACUACACCCUGCACUUUAUGUGCAAAUCCAGGUGAGUUAGAGCGCGGCGAUCAUUAAGUUCAGGCCGGCUAUCUGUGGAGAUUGCAAGGUAGCUGCUAAUUCCGCAGGACCUUGUUAUUCCUUUUGUCAUUUCUUCUUUUGGACAGUUAGACUGUUUAUAUAUCUUAGUUUAUAGUUUUAGACGCUCAUGACUUAGUGACACCCCGAUGUUUGGGG